GUUUCCCAUACAAGCAGGAGGAACCAGGGUGUGGCUUGCCUGGUGGCCCCACACUGGACUCUGCUGUCUUGAAACGCCUUCUGCCCGGGACGGGGCAUUCGGACUCAACGAGAGGCCUGAAACAUCUGAGAUGCCACGUCACGGACGAAUUCUGUUCUUUGAAUAAAUAAAUAGGCUUCCUCUGGACUUUCCCCUGCCCGCAGGAUCUCUGCUCGAUUUGCUUCUCAGGUGGUGCGGUGGGGUAAAGGAGAAACCCCCGCGUGGAUUAGAACCCGGGAGGGCAGCUCGCACGGCCACGCUGAGCCAAGCACCAUCUAAGGCACACAGACGUCGCCGUCGGGGCAGCAUUUUGACUCAGAAUAAGUGCACAAUCCGGCGACGGCCGUUGCCCUUGUCCCUUGUCGCUGCAGGCUGCCUAAAGCCCUGGGCUGGGGAAGGCAGGAAACAUGGACGGGGCCCACCGUCUCGGGGCAAUCCGGAGGGUCACAGCGAAGGCUAUCCAGGCUGAAUGGGAUACAAGGGAGCUUUCAGCACGAAAAACCUCACCUGGGACUGAUGAGCACGGCCCGAAGCACAGUGUUUAGGACCUGGGAGAUGGCACGAUACCCUCUAGCUCCAUCCAUGUCAUCGCAAAGGGCAAGAUUUCACUCUUCUUGACGGCUGAGUAAUACCCCACGGCACGCGUAUACACCACCUCUCUUUACCCAUUCAUCUGCCGAUGGACAUCUUGGGCUCUCUCCGUAUUUUGGCUAUUGUGGACACCGUGUUAACUGCAGGUAUGUUUUUCACGGCAGUUUCUCCUCCAGUGUGGACCCAACACCAGGGCACCCAAAAAACUCAAACACUCGAGCCAUGGAACCCAGAGAAGUGCUCACCCUGAAUUGACGGAAAACCCGUGAGCGGGACGCAGGUCCUGAACCUCUCCCCAGUCUGACCACCCCAGUUUUGACCAACCGCUUGACUUUCCUGUGCUGCUCAGCCUCCCCUAGCUUUGGGCACGGAUCUUGCCAUCACCCUCUCAGGCCCCACGACCCCAUAACCGGGCAGAGUCCUGGUGCUGCAGAACGUUGGUGCUUCAGGGCAUCACAUAGGUGCAAAGGGCCGCAGGCGGCCCAGCUAGUCUAGAGUCGGCUCUUUGAGGUCGUGUAGGGGGGAGGCUAGAUGCUUGGCAAUGAGUGUGGCUUCAGAGUUGUCCUCCCGUGGUCUCCCCUGGACACUGUUCAAGGAGGGAGCUAUCUAUCGUGUCUGGAGCUACUAACUCCCCAUCUUUGAGAUGCCACAGACACCUGCCCAGGAACGUCCGCAGAGUCCUUACCUCCGGAGGGCGUGCCAGCGACUCUCCUAAGGAAUUUAACCCACUCCUCCAUUUCCGCCUGAGAGCUGGCCAUGAGGACAUAGGAGUCCUGUCCUGUGCGGCUCUGGUCCCAUGAGGCUGGAGGAAGAAGUAAUACUAAUGAAGGUCUUCGAGUGGCGAGCGGCCCAAGGGAAGCAAAGGGAAACUAACCCUCAGCUGCUUCCUUGGUUCAAUUAAACAAGCAGGCACACGACACAAAGGCGUAACCUGCUUAUCCUCAAGGGAACCAAAACUCUAAUUCCAUAGAUAAAUCAUUGAGCACCGCUGGUUUGCAAUUGGGAUGCCCUGGGCUGCGGUGUGCUCCUGUGGGGGAGAGAAGCCAUUUCCUGCCAGAAAGGAAGAGGAGUUCACGGGGCAGCGUCAGUGUUAGAGGAGACAGGCUCAGCCCGCACGAGUUUGAAGCUCGGAGCCCAUCACGCCUUCACAGAGUUUCCCAAGCUACUCAUGAGCUCAGCUGUUGGGGUGGGCACGGGAUAGCAACUCGGGAGGGAGGGACGAUGAGCACCCGUGUGCCUUUCUCACAAAAUCAGUGCUUCCUUACUCAGAACUUCUACUCUCCUACCUGCACGAGACGUUGUAAAAAGGAAGGUUCUCAAGACGUAGUUGAUGGACAAACGAAGUUCGUUAGGACCUUAUCAUUUUCACUUUAAACCCACGAUUACGGGCAGACGUAUGUAAUGCUUCCCGGGUCUGUGUUAGCAAGUAGACAGGAAGGUGGAGGAAACGACGAGACGGGGUGGAAGGGGAGAGGAAACCAAGAGGAAGAAUGAGAGAAAGAGACAAAAAAGAAAAACCAGGACAGAAAAGGAGAAGAGCGGGGAGAAGGAAAGCAUCAAGCGCAGGUCUUAGGAAGGAUAAGAACACAAGAGCAACCCCUUUCAAUCACGGGAUUCUAUUAAAUUCUAUUAAUUAAAUUCUAUUAAAAGUGUCUAUAUAAACAUCAACCCAUUCUUCUCACAAUGUCAGGGCCUUUCUCUCAAAAAGAGUUAGUUCCAGCACCCUAAUUGUGCCCCACACCGAAUUUUCUUCAAGGGCAACAAAAAAAAACCUUCAAAUUGCCUUUGGUCCGGAUCUCUCGAGCCUCUAUUAAUAUCACCACCGCGCUCUUUUGAGCUCUGGAACAACCCAGUUCUGAAUCUAUCUUAUCAAAAGGGUCAUCAGCUCUUCUGACCAGAAGGGUCAGUCCAUGGAGGCCCUUGACCACUCCUCAGACCUAGGUGUUUCCAGAAGUAAAAGAGGAAGUGGAAAGCGGUCGGGGUGGAACUAAAGGAUCCUGUAGCAAUCACGGUGUCCCUUUGAAGUAGAAUGGGCGCUGGGAUCAUUUCUGCGCUACAGCUAAUGGAACUCAAGCCCCGAGAUGCAGACACCUGCCCGCUGGCACCCCGUAAGUUAUAUGGCCAAACUCAAGGCACGGCCCCUGCUCUUUCUCCCAAUAGUUGCCACUGGCCCCUGCUGCUUCCAGUUUGGCCUUGGCCAAAAUUCGUCUGGCAUACUUCUCCACCAUGGCUGUUCUCCAGUCUACCCUGUUAUCAAAAACAUGCCUUUUCGGUUUACCCUGACUUCUGGGAGAGCUUUUAGUUUUGUCCUUAGUUUUGUCUCUCAAUGCGGUUGAGAAAACCCCCUGCUCUCAGGAUGCCCCUGAACGGCUACGGACUCACCCUUCUGGUCAAAAAAAGCCAAUGACGCGAUGACACGACGGCUUCUAAAUCAAGUCAUCGCAAAGGGGUAGAGAAGGUGAUGCUCCAUGAUAUGAGAUGGGUUCAAGCGGUCAAAACCAGAGGGAAUUUGAAAAUCUUCCCUAAAUAUCAACUAAUGGAAUAUCCACUCUAUUUGAAAUGGUAAGUGGCUGCCCGGUCCCUACCUCAAUCAGGGUUGUUUUUUUUUUUUUUCCCGCUCUUUCUUCCAUUUAAUUAUUCCAUUGUGCUUAGUCCAUCAUAAGCCUCUCCUAGCUUUGGGCAUGGAUCUUGCCAUCACCCUCUCAGGCCCCACGACCCCAUAACCGGGCAGAGUCCUGGUUCCCCAUUAGACUAAGAGCACACGAGCUUGUUCUUUGCUGGAUUCCCAGUCCCUGUCAUAGGGCCUGGCUCAUAUAGCAGGUACUCGAUGAAUCUGUUGUGACAUCUCACAAGGUGAGAUGAGAAUUAAAUGCAACAAGAGGAAGAAUGCUUGGUAUCCCUGAUGACUUCCUUGGGGUGGAAGGAGAACCGAUGGCGAUUGUGUGAGAAGUCGGCAGGGAGAGGGAAGCUUGUCCUGCACUCCUGCCCGCCCCAAAACACAGUGUGACGACAGCGAAAGUCUUCUCCCUGGCUCUCGUGCACCCAGUGCCGGUGGUCACAGAGGCCCCGGUUAGGAAGAGCGUGACAAGAAAGGAACUGAAAUGUCUCUGCACCGUGAAUACAGGCUUGCCUCAUUCUAAGUUGGGUGAAGACUUGACAAUGAUGCCUUUAGGGAACCUUCAGGAAAGUGGCUCCCACCCGACUACUACUGCUUUAGGGUUGUUUGUUCUUAUGAGACGUGUGUGUGCAUGUGCAAGCAAUGCACCUGCACACCCAGGAGACCGCAGCAGGUGUGAGUGAUGAUGAGAGGAUAAACCUUGGUCCUGCGUAACAUAGCAAUCCUCACGGGCCCACGGGGAGUCAGCAGCCAGAGCGCCCAGUAGGGUCACCCUCGAUGGAAAGCUCAGGCUCUGGGACGCGUGUUACCAUGGACGCUUGCAUCCCAUGAACCGGGAGAGGGGUCCUAGGACUAGAGGAAUCUUGGAGGGAAAGAAGUGGGGCUUUCUCAGAGAUGAGACACUAAAAAAAAAAACUCUUUCUUUGGGAGGUGGUGAGAGAGAUGGACAGAGCCUUGGAUGAAAAACAAACACAUAAACCAAAAAAAAAAAAACCCCACAAAGGAGUGCCCAUCAGGAAGGAGGCCACCUGGGAAGAGCCUAACUUUAAAAAAAAUUUUUUUUUAA